UGCGGUGGCUGCUGGUCGCCCAGCAACGGCGGCGGGCGGCCUGCGCAGGCGCAGUACCGCAGCCCUGGAGGAGUUGGGCGGAGAGCCGGUCCGGUACGUGAUCUGCUGAGAGAGAGGGAGCUGAAGAGAACAAGAUGUGUUCAAUGUUUAUUCUCCAUUUCUAAUUGCACAUGAGAAGAUGACAAUGAGAUACCACCUGCUUGGACUAUUGUGCUCUUUCUGGGGAAGGUACAUCUACAAUAAUGCUGGGUAAAGAGUUCCAGGAUUUGGUCCCAGCAGCCAUGAAAGAAUGCAGAUGCAUUUCCAAGUUAAAAUGCAUCCAGGAAUCUUGAAAGAGGAAACCAAAGGGGUGGAUAAAGCCCAGUCUUCAGACGUCUCUGGGCCUAUUUUCACUGGAAUUCAGAUGAAUGAAAACUAUCAAAUAGUGAAAGCCCUUAAAAGAGUGGAUAUUGAGUGGAUGCUUCCUACAUUGGGAAAGUUUAAGACCAGAGAAUACAACCUCAGAAAAGAGGGGCAUCCUUUUAGAACAGAGCUGAGGAGGAAUUUCUUUAGCCAGAGAGUGGUGAGUCAUGGAAUUUAUGGCCACAGGCAGUUGUGGAAGCCAAGUCUGUAAAUUUAUAGCAGGGGUUGAUAGACUCUUGAUUGGUCAGGCCAUGUGGGGAUAUAGGGAGAAAGCAUGACAUUGCACUGAGAGGAAAAAUGGAUCAGCCAUGAUGAAAUGGCAGAGCAGACUCGAUGGGCCGAAUGGCCUAAUUCUGCUCUUGUGUCAUAUGGUCUUAUGAUUCACAAAAAGUUGAAGGAACUCAGCAUCAAUGGAAAAGAGUACAAUCAAUGUUUUGGGCCAAGACAUGAUUAAUAGAUUCAUUAAUUUUGUGAGUGAAAAGAUUGUGUUGCAAGGGAAUAUAAUCAAGGAGAUGGAAGAAAUACAUUCAUAUUCAUGUGCUAUGGAUGAAGAGGAACCAGUAGAUAUACUCAUGAUAAUAUGGUACAUCAAGGAUACUGAGGAAAAUAAAAGCUCAGCAUAAGAGUUAAGACAUUGCAUGGGUAGAAGAUUGGUUACUGGAAAAUGGUUGACAAGAUGUUGUGAGUGGAUUGUUUCAUGUGCAUAAAUUUACAAAUCACAAAGAUGGCCAAUAAUUAGUUGUGAAUGAAUAGGCUACAAAAGGAAAUAAAUUGAUUUUGGAUUAGAGCACCCGGAGGCAAUCCACAAGGUCAGAAGGAGAAUGUGCCUAUUCCAAACACAGUAGAGGUUAGGUUUGAAAUCGGGUUCUGGAGCUGUGUGUCAGCAGAUUUAUAACUGCAUCCCAUGUAUCAAAUCCCCAUAUACAAAUAAAAAUUUAUGAAUUUGAAAAUUGAAAAAUAUUGUCUAUCAAGAACGGUGUGUUAAUGUUGUAUGAAAUUACGCAUCUAAUUUAGAGCGUGGCUUUGUUGGGGGGUGGGGGAGGUCGAGAGGAUUUUUUAGGCAUGAGGGGCACUCCUUACCUCAGAAAUGGUGGUGGGAUAUGAGAUUUCGGGUCAGUAACACCAUAAAACAUAGGAGCAGAAUUAGACCAUUUGCUCAUCAAGUCUGCUCCACCAUUUGAUCAUGGCUGAUUUAUUAUCCCUCUCAACUCCCAUUCUCCUGCCUUCCAGUAACCUUUAACAUCCCUACUAAUCAAGAACCUCUCUUUUUCCUUGGGGUGGGGACUCAAUCUGUGGGUCCUCUAGCCUGUUCUCACAUGUCCCACUAACCAUCUGUUCUGCUUGAGGCAUGUUGACUUUCUAUUUUACCUGUUGAACCAAUCCCUGGGCUAGGCUGGGAUCACCACCUUGUCCAUACAGAAACAUAGAAAACCUACAGCACAAUACAGGCCCUUCAGCCCACAAUGCUGUGCCAAGCAUGUCCUUACUUUAGAAAUUAUCUAGGGUUACCCAUAGCCCUCUAUUUUUCUAAGCUCCAUGUACCUGUCCAGGAGUCUCUUAAAAGACCCUUUUGUAUCUGCCUCCACCACUGUCGCCAGCAGCCCAUUCCACUCUCUGUGUAAAAAACUGACCCCUGACAUCUUCUCUGUACCUACUUCCAAGCACUUUAAAACUGUGCCCUCUCAUGAUAGCCAUUUCAGCAGUGGGAAAAAGCCUCUGACUAUCCACACAAUCAAUGCCUCUCAUCAUCUUAUACACCAGGGGUGGGCAAACUUUUUGACGAGGGCCACAAAGGGUUCUAAAAUUUGACAGGGGGCAGGACCAGGAGCAGAUGGACGGAGUGUUUUGGUAAUACACCUCAUAAGAGAAAAUAAAAUAUCAUGGGAUAUGUAGAAAACAUGUGCUUUAAUUUCAAUUGAAAAUGAACAAA